UGCAUCGACCGGGAAUCGAACCCGGGCCGCCCGCGUGGCAGGCGAGCAUUCUACCACUGAGUCACCGAUGC
rnacentral:tRNA from 1 species